rnacentral:siRNA from 1 species
UCAAAAUUCAUGGUCAACUCAAC